AAACUAGAUAAUAGCAACAUGAUGGAAUUAGGGAAGGGGAGAGAGACAACAGGAUGUCGGAAUGUAUAUGAAUCGUUUUAAGGAAGAUCUAUAAAUACUAAGUUGUUAUUUUUAAGUAAGAAAAGAUUAAAAAGAAGAUACAAAGUGUGUGUAAAAACAAAUAAUAUGGUAUAAACAUUCAAAUUUAUCAAAAAUUAUAAUUAUUAUAUGUUUAUUGACAGUUUCUUUUCUUGUUAGUGGGUCUAUGAAAUUCUUGGCUAUAAUCUCUAUUCCUUUUUCUUUUUGUAAGUGGAAAUUCCUUUAGUUUUCUUUUAAUAAUACAUGGUUACGAUAAAGUUUCAAAUUCUGGAGAUAAAGUGAAAUCUUCUAGAGUUAAUUACAAUUUGGUAUAUACUGUAAAGGACAUUAGACCAGAUGAUCGCCUUUUUUUUUUUUUUUUUAACCAACACUUACCUUCUCUUAACUUAAAAUAUCUUAUUCUUUUGUUAAAAUAUUUUCCUUUUCUAUAAACUUGACACAUGUAACCAGAAGUAUGGCAACAGUUUUAGGAGAUAUAAGGAAAUAAAUUCAGGGCAUGAUUAACCUAAGUUUCUGUUUGUGGGACAGUAGAAAAUUAUUGGAGUACAGAAUUAAUUUAGGUACAUGGCGGUGAGAGUUUAAGCAAGACUGGGCACAUCAGAACCCACUGAUCAGGGUUAAAGCACUGAAUCCCUGGUCAGUUCAAAAGGCAGGUGGUGACCAUUACAUGGCUCAGGUAAAUGUGUACACUGAGACUGUCUAGGUAUUUCCUGAGGCAAAGGAAACUGAGUGAGCCUGGGCUAUACAUGCAGGUGGGAAGGCCAUCAGGUGUUCUCAGUACCUUAGGGAGGAGACUGGAAGAAAUAGAGGAAAAAAUCUGAAUAGAUCAAAAAGCAUUUAAAGACAUAAAUAGCAUUCAAAGAAAUCUCACAUAAAACCUCAGAGCCAGAUAGUUUUACAUGAGUUUUAACACAUAUUAGAGAAAUAGUAAAUUCAUAUCUUGUAAAAAUUUUCCAGAAAAUACAAGAAUAAAAGCUUCCCAUCUUAUUUUAUUAGGUUAGUGCAAUUGUAAUUGCAAAAUGAGGCAAGAAAAAUGAAGAGAAAACAAUUACAGCACAUGUCACUUAAAAAUGAAGAUUCUAAAAUCCUAAAUAAAAUAUUUGCUAACCAAGGAAAAUAACGUAUUAAGAAUAAUACACCAUGAUCAAGUAGGAUGUAAACUAGAAAUGGAGGGAAGGUUUCACAUUAGAAAUUCUAUUUAUAUAAUUCACAUUAAUAUACCAUAGGAUAAAUGUCAUAUAAUUAUUUUAAAGAUGCAUAAAAAGCAUACCAAGCUAGAAAUAGAAGAACUUUAUUAAUUUAAGUAAAGGCUAUACAUUAAAAACCUCAGCAAGCAUUAUACUUAAGAAAUGAGAAACUAAAUGCUUCCUCUUUAAGACUGAACAUAAGAUAAGGAUGUGCCACUACUAACGUUUAACAUACUUCCAGAGGAAUUGAUCAAAGGGAUUAGAAAAACAAAAGUAAAAGUAUGAGGAUGGGAGAAGUAGAAAGAAAACUUCCAUUAUUGGAAUUGAAAUAUGAUCAUCUAUCUGGAAAUAAGAACAACCUAUUAAGAAUUAGAGAGUUCAGCAAUGUUGUUUCAAAAUAUCAGUACCAUUUCUCUCCACAAACAACAGACAUCAAGAAAAUAUUUUAAUUAAUAUUUUAAAAUACUGAUGUCUACUCAAAGAGUAUCAUGCACAAAAUUAAAAAGUUGAAAGAAUGGAAGCAGAUUUUUUUAAUAUCUAAAGCUAAUAGGAAAUGAAAUGCUCUUAAAGAGCAUUUAUCAAAAGACAAGAACCCAUAUGAAAAAUAAAGAGUAUGAAGAAGCAAUUUCAGAAAAGGGAAGCCAAAGGCCAAUUUAAAUAUGAAAACAUAUUCAAAUUCAUUACUGAUAGGAGGAAUUAAAAUUAAAACAAUAGGCUGUAAAUUAUGCAUAGGAGAUGGAAAAUAUUAGCAAGCUCGAUAAUGUCCAGGGUUGACAGAAAUGAGAGAGUUACUGCUAGUGUGGACCAAAGUAUUUAUUUGGUAGAGCAACUGGCAGGACUUGGUCAAAUUAAGUAUAAACAUGUCUCCUAUUACUCAGCAAUUGUGCUCCUGAGUAUACAUCCCAAAGAAAUCCUUGCAAAGUUCCAUGAUAAAACAAGCGUGGGGAUAUUCAUCAUAACAGUGUUUGUUGUGACAGAAAAUCUGGGCGGCCAUACUAGGAAAUACAGGUCGUUAAAACAUGGUAGCCACAAACUAUGGAAUACUAUGCAGCACUUAGCAGCAGUGUAAACAUGACAACGUAAGUAAAUGAUAAGCACAAAAGGUUAAGCAAAAUAAAAUAGUAAGGAACAAAAUGAGAUACAUAGCAAAAUACCAUAUAUGCAUAAUAAAAUUUCAUAUACAUAAAAAGGGGAAGGGGGCACAGUGGAGAUAUAAUUAACACAAGCCCAAUGAAAAGACCCAUGAAGGUUCAUAAUAUAUUCUGUUUUAUUUAUUUGAAAUUUUCGGUUUAAAAUAUUUAAAAACACAUGUAUAUAAAACAAUACUUAUAUUAUGAAAAAAUAUAUAACAAAAGAGAGUGUUUCAGUAGUUAUUAUAAUGACAACCAUAUUAGAAUGCUUCUCUAUGGGUUAAGGUCAGGAGCAUGGGACUAGAAACAAAAAUAAAAUAAAAUAUAUAAAUAAAAUCAGUGCUUUGUGAGGACCAAUGAUGACAGUGUGCAAUGAACUAAGGAGCAUGUUUAGCUCUAUUCUCUAUGCAAAAGUUCCUUUAAAGAAAAAAAAAGAUUCCUUACAGCUAUUUUUUUUUUUUUUUAAUUGGAAGGAUCUGGUUUUAGACUGUGGAGAUGAAGGAACUACAAAAAUAAUUGUCUAAUUAUUAUAAUUCAGAAAACAAUUGAAUAGCUGUUCCAAGUAACCAACUCACCAUAUAUAACUAUAGAAAUGAAUUGGAAAUAAAUGUCAUUUAUAUUUUCAAGAUAAGUCAUUUCUGACAAUAUUCAUCACAAAAAACUAGCAAAAUCAAUAAGCUGCUACCCACAAAUUAAGGAGAAAAAAUAGACUCUAAAGUACUUGCACUCUAAAAAGAUACAGCAAAAAAGAACAAAGGGAAAAAAUUUCUGCACCAGAGGCUGUAAAUUGUUUUAUUUGGUUCACACAGUUGGCAAAAGUAGGUUUUUUUCACAGGCAAAAUUUUGUGCGGAUAUUAAAAAAUUAGGACUUCUCAAAAUCCACAUUUGAUUCUUCCAAAAAAGUCAUAAAAUUAGAUUUUAUAGGCCUCUUAUUUCUACCUCGAGAGGAUUCUAGAGCUGAACAAAAGUGCCCCAUUUACUGGUCACAUAUUCUCCGAGGCUGUAUGUCUCUGCCUGACAUACAACAUUAUUUAAAAUACCUUUUUUGCAUUUUGUGCUCCUCAUAUCUCACUCAAAAUUUUACAAAAUAUAUAAAAAAAUUACUUAGUAAUGUAAGCAUGUAAGCAGUCAUAGGAGGCAUGAGCAGAGCAUGUUAAUUGAAAGGGUAUGAUGGGUCACAACAAAUCUUUGGGGACUGGAGAAAUAGUAUAAAGAGGUUUGGUGAAUAGACAGGGGUUUUUAGAGUGGUUAAAGAACAAGUUCCUAAUGUAGUUAAGGAACUGAUUAAUGAAUAUAGUACAUUAAGAAGAAAGUGCAGUAGAUAGUAAUUUUUGUUUAAUUAUUCUUUCAAAUUAAACACUACUGAGCUUUGCUCACAGAUUUAAUGGAAGCUACUUCAUUUCUUCUCCAUUCUUCUUAAU
rnacentral:lncRNA from 1 species